AUGGCGACCGCCACCAACCCUCAUCUCGCGCCCCCGCCGCCGGAUCUGGCAAUAGUUCAAGUCAUUAAGGAUUUUUAUCGCAAUUCGAGGACAAUCAAAGAGAACAUUAUAUUGGUAGGCUAUGAUGAGAAGCCUAUGGAUUUCGACAACAGUGAAAUGAAGUUCCUCAAGUGCUCGUACAAAGUUGGCCCCAAUCAAUUCAACAGGUUUAUCAAGAGGGGUGCUGCAAGUUCCAAGGAUUGGGCUUCAGACUACCAUUUUGUCAGAGCUUUGGCGCAUCCUGCUGCUAUCCAAGUUGAAAAUUACGUCAAAUCAGAGUGUGUGAUCAUCUCUGAAGUGGAUGGGUCCUUCAGCAAAUGGUUGAACAAGAGGGAACCCAUAGAACUGUUCGCUGAUGGCACCAUGCUGCCCAUCCUCAGAAAUAUGAUCAUCCAACUUGCAAGUCUGGUGGAAAGUAUUCUUGCUAAGCGCAAGUAUCCCCGAGGUACCGUUGCAAAGGAAGAAUUCUCAAUGAAAGAGCUCUACAUCAAGCUGCUUCCUGAUAAGACACCUAAGCUGCAGGUGUUGAUACUUAAGGUUGAAAACAGGAUUCCAGCUCAGGUGGUGAAGACUUGGACAACUGUAAGGGAGAUUGCUACAGAGUGCUUUGAACGCCAUAAUGUCAAUCCAAACCAGGGAAGUAGAGACUUCAUCUCUUGUAUUGGGAUUCUGACAAAAAAUGUCCAAGCUCUUUUGGAGGGCCACCCGGACCAGUGGGACAAUACGAAGAAAGGUGGGUUUCUCAUGGAAUCCUACGCGUACUCCCAGCAAGUGUCUGGUAGGAUCAACAAGUCUGAAUUGAGGUGGCCUGUGGAAGAUGAUGGAAGAACUCCGUGGUUGCUGUCGCAGUUAAUUCUUCGGGGUCGAGAGAAGAAGGUGAUGUAUGACAAGGACUUUCCGAAUGACUAUGUGAAACUAUGCAGGCACAGCUACAAGCACUUCAAAAAAUUGCCAAACAAUAUUAAGGCUAGUCUUGGAGGGAGUACAGAUGGACUGAUACAUCAGAUUGAAGUUUGGUCGCCUCGUAUCUGGCACAUCUUAUAUGUGGCACUUCACAAGCCCGGAUCAGGAUAG
rnacentral:rRNA from 1 species